ensembl:snRNA U6 U6 spliceosomal RNA
GUGCUCACUUUGGCAGUGCACAGCCUAAAAUCUGAAGGAGACAGAGAUGACUAGCGUGGCCCCUGUGCAAGGAUGACAUGUAGAUUUGUGAAGCAUUCUAUAUUUAA